GGACAGCGAAGAUUGAUAUUUGGUCUGGUUCGUAGUAACUGGCAUUUGUUUGCCUUGCCGACUAUACUGCUACAUCACCACCCAUAUUCUGAGUAC
rnacentral:snoRNA from 2 species